rnacentral:tRNA from 1 species
GAAGGUAUAGCUCAGUGGCAGAGCACAUGCUUAGCAUGCACAAUGUCCUGGAUUCAAUCCCUAGUACCUCCA